rnacentral:rRNA from 1 species
UACGUAGGGUGCAAGCGUUUGUCCGGAAUUAUUGGGCGUAAAGAGCUCGUAGGCGGUUUGUCGCGUCUGCUGUGAAAACCUGGGGCUCAACUGUGGGCUUGCAUUCGAUACGGGCAGGCUAGAGUUCGGUAGGGGAGACUGGAAUUCCUGGUGUAGCGGUGAAAUGCGCAGAUAUCAGGAGGAACACCGGUGGCGAAGGCGGGUCUCUGGGCCGAUACUGACGCUGAGGAGCGAAAGCGUGGGGAGCGAACAGG